UACGUAGGCAGCGAGCGUUGUUCGGAGUUACUGGGCGUAAAGGGUGUGUAGGCGGUUCUUUAAGUUUGGUGUGAAAUCUCCCGGCUCAACCGGGAGGGUGCGCCGAAUACUGAGGGACUAGAGUAUGGGAUGGGAAAGUGGAAUUCCUGGUGUAGCGGUGAAAUGCGUAGAUAUCAGGAGGAACACCUGUGGUGUAGACGGCUUUCUGGACCAUAACUGACGCUGAGGCUCGAAAGCGUGGGGAGCAAACAGG
rnacentral:rRNA from 1 species